CCUACGGGUGGCAGCAGUGAGGAAUAUUGGUCAAUGGGCGCGAGCCUGAACCAGCCAAGUCGCGUGAGGGAAGACGGUCCUAUGGAUUGUAAACCUCUUUUGUCGGGGAGCAAAAGACGCCACGCGUGGCGUUCCGAGAGUACCCGAAGAAAAAGCAUCGGCUAACUCCGAGUCAGCAGCCGCGGUAAUACGUAGGAUGCGAGCGUUAUCCGGAUUUAGUGGGUUUAAAGGGUGCGCAGGCGGAAGAUCAAGUCAGAGGUAAAAUUGAGAGGCUCAACCUCUUCGAGACGUUGAAUCUGGUUAUCUUGAGUGAGCGAGAGGUAUGCGGAAUGCGUGGUGUAGCGGUGAAAUGCAUAGAUAUCACGCAGAACUCCGAUUGCGAAGGCAGCAUACCGGCGCUCAACUGACGCUCAGGCACGAAAGUGUGGGGAUCGAACAGGAUUAGAUACCCGGGUAGUC
rnacentral:rRNA from 1 species